rnacentral:rRNA from 1 species
CAAGAGAGUAUAUUAAAGUUGUUGCAGUUAAAAAGCUCGUAGUUGGAUUUCUGGUAUAAUGCGCCUGGCCCGAGUCGGUUACGCCUGUGAGUGCCGGUGCGCGUUUGCCAUCCUUCUAGAAAACGUUUCUACCCUUCACUGGGCCGGACUCACGAUCUAGAUCUUUACUUGAAAAAUUAGAGUGUUUAAAGUAGGCUUUUGCUGUGAAUACAUUAGUAUGGAAUAACAAUCUAGGACUUCGGUUCUAUUUUGUUGGUUUCUAGUACUGAAGUAAUGAUUGAUAGGAUAGUUGGGGUGCUAGUAUUGGCCGGCCAGAGGUGAAAUUCUUGGAUUCGGUCAAGACUAACUUAUGUGAAAGCAUUCACCAAGGAUGUCUUCUUUAAUCAAGAACGAAAGUUGGGGGAUCGAAGACGAUUAGAUACCA